UACAGAGGUGGCAAACGUUGUCCGGAUUUAUUGGGUGUAAAGGGCAUGUAGGUGGUUUUGUAAGUCAAAGGUGAAAUGGCCCGGCUCAACCAGGUCAUUGCCUUUGAAACUGCAAGACUCGAGUUCGGAAGAGGAAAGCGGAAUUCCCAGUGUAGCGGUGAAAUGCGUAGAUAUCAGGAGGAACACCAAUGGCGAAGGCAGCUCGCUGGGACGUGACUGACGCUGAGACGCGAAAGCGUGGGGAGCAAACAGG
rnacentral:rRNA from 1 species